GCAAAAGAAAAAUCAUUCAAUUUGGGGAUUGCUGGUUUAGGUCUAAUCAUCUAAAAUUCUCUAAAAAAAUUAACAGAAGAUCUCAACUGAGUACGCACUCAAUCAGCCACUUAUAUAGUAUAUAUAUUAAUAUAUAUUCUAUCCAUUUUAAUCUAGAAGCAAAGAAAAAAGAAAGAAGAAGAAUCAAUGAGAAAUCAAAUGUACCUAUAUAUUCUAUCCAUUUUAAUCUAGAAGCAAAGAAAAAAGAAAGAAGAAGAAUCAAUGAGAAAUCAAAUGUACCUAUAGCCUGUACGCACAGGCACAGAGA
rnacentral:lncRNA from 1 species